rnacentral:rRNA from 1 species
GAUGAACGCUGGCGGCGUGCCUAAUACAUGCAAGUCGAGCGAACAGACGAGGAGCUUGCUCCUCUGACGUUAGCGGCGGACGGGUGAGUAACACGUGGAUAACCUACCUAUAAGACUGGGAUAACUUCGGGAAACCGGAGCUAAUACCGGAUAAUAUAUUGAACCGCAUGGUUCAAUAGUGAAAGACGGUUUUGCUGUCACUAAUAGCUGGAUCCGCGCCGCAUUAGCUAGUUGGUAAGGUAACGGCUUACCAAGGCAACGAUGCGUAGCCGACCUGAGAGAGUGAUCGGCCACACUGGAACUGAGACACGGUCCAGACUCCUACGGGAGGCAGCAGUAGGGAAUCUGCCGCAAUGGGCGAAAGCUUGACGGAGCAACGCCGCGUGAGUGAUGAAGGUCUUCGGAUCGUAAAACUCUGUUAUGAGUGAAGAACAAAUGUGUAAGUAACUAUGCACGUCUUGACGGUACCUAAUCAGAAAGCCACGGCUAACUACGUG